rnacentral:ncRNA from 1 species
AAAUAUAAAGGGAAUUAUGAAAUGUAGUCUGUACUUGGGCGCUUGGACUACAGGGAGUUAGUAGCGCAACCCACCUUUAUCUUA